GCAUCGAUAGCACUGUGGCAGAGCGGUGGGGUGUUGUUAUUGUUACCCAUGCGUCCGGGUUCGAGCCCCGGUCGAUGCA